CUAGUUAGAGAGGGUAAAAUAUAUCUACUCUGAACUUCUGACUGCCUGCAAUGACAACCAUAUUCUCUUCCUUAUAGGUGAUGCUAAAGCUAGUAGGAAUUCAGCUGAACAGAAUCUCCAGAGAAAAUACAAAGCAGCAAAUGAAGAGUGUCAUUGGAUUGUCAAGAUGCCUUAUUGCAAUAAAAGAUCAAUAAGAAGCAGCAGCAAAUGGGAACUUUACUCCAGUGCAGAGAGAUGCUGAGAUAAUCUCACCCUGAGGCAGAUGUUGAUAAUUGGCAGGCAUACCUGCUUCUAGCCAUGGGCAGUGACAGGAACUCCACUCAACUGGAGAUGCUACCGUCUGAACUUCGCUAAGAUGGAUGCCAUACAAUAUAUCCACACUGUUGCCAGAUUUCUGUGGCAGAGAAAGAAUCUCCGUGAUGAAUAUGACAGAUCAGAAAAGGUUGUCAUCUGAAAAGGACUGACUUAGAAAAUCCCAGAGCCCUGAAACCCACAGCAACAUGCUGGAUCUGGCCCGGCUCUGAGCAGGAGGUCAAACCAGACAACCGCCAGAGUCCUGUCCAGGUACAAUUUGAGAGUGGUUUUGGGUUUCAAGCAGGUACCCUCUCUCAAGGGUGAGAAUGGAGAGGAAAGCUUUCCCUUGUAACGCAUGCAGGAUUUCUGUGUGUUAUAGGUGAACCUUAGCAACCAAACAGAUAUAUAACAUUUAUAACUCAAUGACAGAUCUGUGCUGCACAGUGAGCUGCCCAGGUGAACUCAAAACUUGUCACUGAUUUUUGCACCCUCUUAAUCUUCCUGUUUAUUCUGUGCUUCAUUAAAGUCAAUCUCUGCUGGACAGACUGUCACUCAGGCUAGGCCUGUCCUGCUGUCUGCACUCUCUGGGGAGCACCCUUCAUCCUGAUAAAUGGUCUAUUAGGAGAGCACGUGUCAGAAAGAAACCCUCCGUGAAGCUAAAUAGAUUAGUCUCUUCCCUCUGAACAGUCUCAGUGGAAUGGGGUAGGCAUGAUCAUUAAAGCGGAUUUAGAAUGAGAAGACACUUUUUCCUUAGGACAGGAAAUUGCUCUGAG
ensembl:lncRNA